rnacentral:rRNA from 1 species
UGGGGAAUAUUGCACAAUGGGGGAAACCCUGAUGCAGCGACGCCGCGUGAGUGAAGAAGUAUUUCGGUAUGUAAAGCUCUAUCAGCAGGGAAGAAGCAAGACGGUACCUGACUAAGAAGCCCCGGCUAACUACGUGCC